UCAGUAAGGGAAUUAAGGAUGGAAUGUUGUCUUUGUAACGGGGAUCCAGCAGGGUGGCCACCCAGUAAUCAGCACAAGUUAGAAUGACAGUCGUUGCACAGGCACUUUGGUGACUCUAGAUAACCUAGGGCCGAUCGCAUGUCCCCGUGACAGCGACGAUACAUUUGGAUGUCUGCCCUAUCAACUUUCGAUGUUACUUUCUGUGCCUACCAUAGUGACCAUGGGUAAUAUGGAAUCAGGGUUUGAUUCCAGA